AUUGAACGCUGGCGGCAGGCCUAACACAUGCAAGUCGAGCGAGCGGCGGCCGGGUGGGUAAUGUAUGGUGAUCUGCCCGAUAGAGGGGGAUAACUACUGGACACGGUUGCUACUACCGCCUACUAUCGGAUGAACCCAUAGGGGAUAAGCUAGUAGGUGGGGUAAAGGCUCACAUAGGCGACGAUCUCUAGCUGGUCUGAGAGGAUGAUCAGCCACACUGGGACUGAGACACGGCCCAGACUCCUACGGGAGGCAGCAGUGGGGAAUAUUGCACAAUGGGCGAAAGCCUGAUGCAGCCAUGCCGCGUGUAUGAAGAAGGCCUUAGGGUUGUAAAGUACUUGAAGCGGGGAGGCGUUACCCGCAGAAGAAGCACCGGCUAACUCCGUGCCAGCAGCCGCGGUAAUAC
rnacentral:rRNA from 1 species